rnacentral:tRNA from 1 species
CAGUUUAAAUCUUAAUUAGUAAAGUAUUUCAUUUACAUUGAAAAGAAAUUUGUGCAAAUCAAUUUAAAUUGA